AAUAGCCUACUUUUAUAGAACUUUCAUCCCAAUACUGAUUAUGAAGUUGUAAUAAAUUAAUUAUAUAGCCUACUGCAGAAAUGUUUAUAUUGCUUUAUAUGGACAUAUCCUUUGGCAAAGAGAUGGAUGCAUUCUGGGAAUUGAUAUGUGUUUAAAUGUAAUGGCUACAUACUCGUGUUUCCUUCACUUCGACAUUUACGCUGACCCCUUUGAAAUUUUGAGCACGGAUAUAAAAUAUUAAGACUGUACUUUUUAAUUAUUAUUGAUAUUUUGGCGCAAUUUUGUGCAGUACGUCACUGUGUGCGACCAUCGCAGACACCAUUGCCCAGCGCGAUUCCACCACGAUCCUGUCAAACAUAUCACCUGUCGAACCUAUCCAAACCUUAUUUUCAAAACCCAAAGGCACUUUUAAGAGCCAACCUCUAUCUCUUCAUUAUUUUCGAUAUCUUACAUCCUCUCUGUUCUCUCACUAUCUAUAUUUCUGUCCAUCUCUUCAAUCUUUAUCUAUCUCACAGUCAUCUAUUGCUCUUUCUUUCCUCCCUGUCUGUCUUUGUCUACUUGUCUGUCUUACCCAUCUUUAUCUGUCUGUCUGUAUCUGACUGUCUGUCUGUCUGUAUCUGACUGUGUGUUAUAAUGCCAGGGGGUCUACAAAAGAUCUGCCCCUUUUGUCAGGGGAUUUUAUUUUGCGCUCAAAAGAUCUGCUCACAUUGUAAAAGGAGCAGCCUCUGAAGCAGCGCCUCAAGAAGAAGCUUCAGAGGUUUGAUGAGAAGCGAGAGGAAUGGGUGGUUGGUCGUAAGAAAAACCACAACACUGCAUCCAUCAAGGAUGAAGCCAAUAUCAUGCUUGAGAAACUCCAUGCCAUUGGCUACAAACCAGUUCUGCUACUAGGAAAGGAGAACAAAAAAAAGAAAUUAAGUGUGAAAUAUUAACGCCUCGCUGCACACUCUCCACCUUUGCCCAGGACUACCUACAGAAGAUAGGUUCAUUUUAUGAAUACCUUUGUGAAGGAUGGACCCAGGAUUCCAGUGGCAAUGAGGAUCAGCUGAUUACUCUGCAGCUCACACCCUGCGAGGCGGAAUCCACGGAGGGGCAAGUGGAGCAGGUGGAAUCCACGGAGGGGCAAGUGGAGCAGGCGGAAUCCACAGAGGGGCAAGUGGAGCAGGCUGAAUCCACGGAGGGGCAAGUGGAGCAGGCUGAAUCCACGGAGGGGCAAGUGGAGCAGGCUGAAUCCACGGAGGGGCAAGUGGAGCAGGCUGAAUCCACGGAGGGGCAAGUGGAGCAGGCUGAAUCCACGGAGGGGCAAGUGGAGCAGGCUGAAUCCACGGAGGGGCAAGUGGAGCAGGCUGAAUCCACGG